UACAGAGGGUGCAAGCGUUAAUCGGAUUUACUGGGCGUAAAGCGUGCGUAGGCGGUUACGUAAGUCGGAUGUGAAAUCCCUGGGCUUAACCUGGGAACUGCAUUCGAUACUGCGUGGCUAGAGUACGGUAGAGGGAGGCGGAACUCCGGGUGUAGCGGUGAAAUGCGUAGAUAUCCGGAAGAACACCGAUGGCGAAGGCAACCUCCUGGGCCUGUACUGACGCUGAGGUACGAAAGCGUGGGGAGCAAACAGG
rnacentral:rRNA from 1 species